GACAGAGGGUGCAAACGUUGUUCGGAAUUACUGGGCGUAAAGCGCGCGUAGGUGGCCCGGUAAGUCCGCUCUGAAAGUCACAGGCUCAACCUGUGAAAGCGGGUGGAUACUGCCGGGCUAGAGUCCGGAAGAGGCGAGUGGAAUUCCCGGUGUAGCGGUGAAAUGCGCAGAUAUCGGGAGGAACACCAGUAGCGAAGGCGGCACUCUGGGCCGAUACUGACGCUGAGGAGCGAAAGCGUGGGGAGCGAACAGG
rnacentral:rRNA from 1 species